CGGCAAUGUUGUGUAAUUCGAAUACAGGGCGUAAACAAUGAUUGAUAGGUAAUUCGUGUCUUAUUUAUCAGUGCAGUAGGAAAUAUACGUGCAGGUAAAAAAAAAAAAAAAAAAUGGCAGGAAAAGGGAAUCCAAA